AUUGAACGCUGGCGGCAAGCCUAACACAUGCAAGUCGAACGAGUGGCGGACGGGUGAGUAAUGUCUGGGAAACUGCCUGAUGGAGGGGGAUAACUACUGGAAACGGUAGCUAAUACCGCAUACCAUCGGAUGUGCCCAGAUGGGCUUAGCUAGUAGGGGGGGUAAAGGCUCACCUAGGCGACGCUCCCUAGCUGGUCUGAGGGGAUGACCAGGCACACUGGAACUGAGAGACGGUCCAGACGCCGACGGGAGGCAGCAGUGGGGAAUAUUGCGCAAUGGGCGCAAGCCUGAGUCAGCCAUGCCGCGUGUAUGAAGAAGGCCUUCGGGUUGUAAAGUACUGUCAGCUGGGAGGCGUUACCCGCAUAAGAAGCACCGGCUAACUCCGUGCCAGCAGCCGCGGUAAUAC
rnacentral:rRNA from 1 species